rnacentral:lncRNA from 1 species
GUUUCACGCCUCGUACAAGAACGGAUGCCAAACAGAAUGCCACCGAUAGGCUCAGGGAACAGGCAAAUCAACAGGUUCUGCUCGCAUCGUUUGGAGUCUUGGGGGUGUGCGAGACGCUUGCGUGUGCCUGUGCGGUUUUCCCCGAUUUUUCUUCCAUUAGCAUGGACCUGUCUCCAUCUCUUUUAGUUUCUCUGCUUCCCUACCUCUGCUUUUUUUUUCUUCCUUCUCUGCCUCUUUCAGGCUUCGGCGCUUCUCCACUAAGAGAUACGGUUCCACCGGACACGACGUCACUGCCCGAGAAACUUUGAACUCGAUCAAAGCCUCCCGCUCUACGCGCGUGACGGCCGUUCCUGCGGACUGGCCACUGAACCUGGUCAAGGAGGAGAAAGGCGCGCUCGAGAAAGCAGUGCAGUUCUCUCCAAGCACCGAUCUGCGAACGUGAACAGAAACCGAAGCAUGCACCAAAAAUCCGAUGGGGUCUGGAGCCUCGGGCCCGUGAGUGGGAAGAAGUUGAUACACGGUUGGCAGCGACAAACUCUCUCGAAAUAGGAAACUGGUCAGCAGCUCGAGUACACGACCUUGUCGGAAAUGAUGAAGAUGCAUCCUUUACACGCUGUGAGACUCGAACUGCCGUUUUCUUUUGCACCAUGCGAUUUGACCUCAAGAAACACGCACUGCCAAAACGUUCC